rnacentral:rRNA from 1 species
UACGUAGGGUGCGAGCGUUGUCCGGAAUUAUUGGGCGUAAAGAGCUUGUAGGCGGUCUGUCGCGUCUGCUGUGAAAAUCCGGGGCUCAACCCCGGACUUGCAGUGGGUACGGGCAGACUAGAGUGUGGUAGGGGAGACUGGAAUUCCUGGUGUAGCGGUGAAAUGCGCAGAUAUCAGGAGGAACCCCGAUGGCGAAGGCAGGUCUCUGGGCCACUACUGACGCUGAGAAGCGAAAGCAUGGGGAGCGAACAGG